UCAGGGUAAAAUGUUUCCUUUAAGAAUGUGCACGUAUUAUUGCAAACUCCCAUGGGCCGUCUGCAUGUCAUUACUUUACCGUUUACAAUUUUGAAAAGUCAGAAUUCAUUUCAUCCUUACACUGAAAAGCAUUUCUACAACUGUUGUUCGUCAGUUCCCGAAUAACAAUGGCGAAGAUACAACUCUCCAAAACGUUAUUAAAUCUGAUGGUGGACUGGAAGAAGCUGUUCCUAAAAUGUGACGGUGUUUUUUAGAACCAUUUUCCAUGUGGGACAGGAUGGUGUGAAGUGCAGAGGCUAUAGUAUCACCAGUGGACCGAUUCAAAUGGCAUUCUUGGUUGAACAAAGAAAUACAACAGAGUCAAUGAAGAUCUACACACAAAUGCUGACAAACAACCAAUAUGAAAAAGAAGCCAAAUUGUAGAAGUACAAAAUCAAUCAAUCAAUAAAUAAACAAAUAAAAUAAUGCUGAAUUGUAGAAUCCUUGAAAGUGAGUCCAUGGAUUGUAGAAUCAUUGCAGUGUUGAGCACCUCUUUGAGAGGAAACUGGAGAGCCCGGGGAAAACUUAAACAAUCUAUGAGGAGGAAGCACAGAGACUCCCUACAGAAUUAAACUCCAGAACGGCCUGAACUGUAACAGUGUCAUACUAAUUGCUGCAUUACUGGGGCGCCCAGUCAAGGAGCAGAUGAAACUUGACAUGAAGGAGUGGAAAGUGAUGUCCAUGAGUAAAGAAUUAGUGACAGGGCCAUGGAUGGAACAAUGUGGGAACAUUACAAAUCACUGGUUGAAUUUAUGAAGCAGGCAGAAAUCCUCAUGAAAUUUUAAAGAAUAUGGGGGCUGUGGACAAUUCUGAUUUGAUGGACACAGACGUGAAAGCACAGAGGAACAUCUAGAGAAAUUUCUGAAACACCGGUUCGCUGCCGCUGUUACUGGGCAAUCGAGAAUCUUCCAGAGGGAAAGCCCCAAAAUCCCCGGCUUUGCCUGCUGCUGGCCACCGAGGCUGAGGUCGAAUCGUUCGGAUAGAGAUGGUGCUCGGUACUCGGUGUCAGAGGGCUGAUCGGAGGCUCAAAGUUUUCGGAUGGCUCAGAGUCAGACUACGGUCGGGCAUGGCAGGGAGCGUUUUCUUCCUUCUCCCGUCUGGGAUGUGGGACUUUCAAGAGACUUCGAACAUUUUUACUGUGACCAUGGCCUGUUCUUCAUCAAGUUAUGGUAUUGUUGCACUGUUGUAACUAUAUGUUAUAAUUAUGUGGUUUUUAUUAGUUUUUCAGUCUUGGUCUGUCCUGUGUUUGUGUGAUAUCACACCGGAGGAAUAUUGUAUCAUUUCUUAAUGCAUGCAUUACUAAAUGACAAUAAAAGAGGACUGCGUGUCCUCAUAAUCUAAUCUAAUCUAACCUAUCCAAGAGUCUCUUAAAAGACCCUAUUGUAUCCACCUUCACCACCGUCGCCGGCAGCCUAUUCCAUGCACUCAAUGAGAUCCCCACACAUUCUUCUAAAUUUCAGUGAGCACAGGCCUAAACCUGCCAAAUGCUCCUCAUAGGUUAGCUCCUUUAUUCCUGGAAUCAUCCUUGUG